UAGAAGACAAUAUCUCUCAGAAAAAUCAGUCAAAAGUAACGGAUUUGAAACUCCAUCUUCAAAUUCAAUAAAUGGAAGAACAAAUGACAUCAACAUCUGUGCCGUUGAUUACUUAUAAUUUUCAUGGAAAAUCCUCACUUUAUGGCCAAGAAUCCUUUCAAAGUUCUACAUUUUGGUGACCUUUUCACCUUAUCUUAAAGAAAAGAGAAACAGAAGAGGAGAUUGGUUUGUGGGUCUGACAUGUUCAUCGACACCGAUUCGCCUCGUUCUCUGCUGAUAUGUAGGGCUAAACGUGUAGAGGUAGAGCUGUAAAAUCAAAAUUGAAAGAGAGAUUGAAUCUUAUGCUCAACAACAGUUCUUAUGGUCAUCCAUCAUGAUUGAAUAACAAUCCCUUCCCUGUCUUGUGUGAACUCCAUGAUUGUUUUUAUGUGGUCACGUUUGUGAAUGUAGUAGAAAAAUCCACACAUAUGCUGAUAUGGUCUGUAGACUUGAGGAAUAUUUCGGCUUCUGCAAGGCACUCUGCUUCAUGGAAAUUGCUCUGAGAUUUCAAAGAUAACGGUGCAACCUUCGUUCUUUGGAUUCUUGCUUUCUCAUACUUGUGGGAAACUUCUUGUAAUGGUGGAACUCCAUUGUGCUUGGUUCUUACAGAAAAAUUGUGGAUGGAUACUGUGCAGAGACACUUUUUUUGCCAUAUUUUUUUGGUGGUGGGCGAGUAUGAAAUUGGGAAACCAUUAGCAAGAUAUAGCAGACAUUCUCCGGGAUUGUUUCUUGAUAUAACUUGGGAAAAUAAUGCACACUUGUUUCAAUUUAGUUAAUUUUG